rnacentral:ncRNA from 1 species
GAAACUUGAAGGGAAUGACGGAAGGGCACACCAGGGGUGGAGCCUGUGGCUUAAUUUGAAUCAACACGGGGAAACUUACCAGGACCCAGAUGUUUUUUAUGACUGACAGGCUUCGGGUCUUUCAGGAUAUUGUUUUUGGUGGUGCAUGGCCGUUGGUGGUGCGUGGGUUGACCUGUCUAGCGUUGAUUCAGCUAACGAGCGAGAUUAUCGCCAAUUAUUUACUUUGCCGAAGUCCUUCGGUUAAAGUUCUAAUUGGGACUCCCUGCGAUUUUAGCAGGUGGAAGAGGGUAGCAAUAACAGGUCCGUGAUGCCCUUUAGAUGCUCUGGGCUGCACGCGUGCUACAAUGUUAGGAUCAAUAGGACUGCGAGCCUGAGAGGGUGCGCUACUCUUAUAAUCCCUAACGUAGUUGGGAUUGACGUUUGUAAUCAGCGUCAUGAACCAGGAAUCCCUUGUAAAUGUGUGUCAACAACGCACGUUGAAUACGUCCCUGCCCUUUGUACACACCGCCCGUCGCUCCUACCGAUUGGAUGACUCGGUGAAAUCACCGGAUGCUUACGAGCAGAAAGUGAUUAAAUCACGUUAUCUAGAGGAAGGAGAAGUCGUAACAAGGUAACGGUAGGUGAACCUGCCGUUGGAUCAGUU